GUUUGCUACAGUGGUGAUUAGAGGUCUCUUAGAGACUGGCACACUAGGCAGCCACCUGGUUGGCCUCCCCUUCAUUCAGUCAGCUCUGCCAUUCAGCUUUCUUCCAGCCUCUGCACAUUACCUGUCCUAGUUCUUGUUUUAUUGUACUGCCACUCAACUUUUCUGAAUCUCCCACUUGGCUGUGUCUCUGUACCUGCUAAAUCAACACAGUUCCUGGCAUACAGGUGCAUUUCAGUGCAUGCUGGUGAGACAGCGAAGGGCUUGAAACAGUCCACAAAAGUUGAUGCAGGAGAGCAGUACAAUCCUUUCUGGAGUGGGACUCAGAGAAAGAUCAUGCAUGUUGAAGUCAUUCCAGCAGCAGUCCAGGGGAGUUGGGGCAGGUAAGAUGGGAUAAGUGCACUCCAACCAUCAUUUCUGUUGGUCAUAACUCCAGGAGAGAAAGUUUAGAACAGCUAUUUGAGGACGGUGAAAAGAAAACAGCAGAAGGAAUAUUGGUGAAGAACACAGAAUUUGAAGUACAUCAAACCAGUAGCCCUGGGCAAACCCACACCUGUAGGGUCAGCAGUCAGUAACGGGACUGACAGGAGCCAAAACUGAGGCAGUGUAAACUUGUUCUUUUUUCAGAAGAACUGUGAUCCCACGGGCUCACUUCCAAGCCAUACAUGUUUGGAUCUGGUUUUAAUGAGGAUACCAAGACCUUUGAGAACUGAAGUAAUAGAGAGGUCAUCACCUGGUUCCUAGACUGGCUUCUGGGUGGUGCACACCUGAAAUGGAGACAAAAAGCAGUUUGAAAACUGAGUGGAUGUUGACAUCACAGCGCACAGAAGAAAUAAUGUCUCGCUAUGUUGCCCAGGCUGGACUUCAACUUCUUGGCUCAAGUGAUCCUCCCACCUCAGUCUCUCGAAUAGCUGGGACUAUAGGCAUGGGCCAUUGUGCCCAGUUCAGAGGAACCUUUUCAGAGAGGAUGGUCAGGACAGCCUCUUUGAGCAGGACUAGCCAUAAUUUGAAGAUGCUGGAAAAAAAUAUUCACAGUCUCUGGAAAUCUAGCAAAGUGAUCAGGAUUCUUUCCUUUGGCACUUCAAAGCAGAGUCAACAAAAAAAGCUGGGGGCGUUUUUUUGUGGUUAUAUGUUAAAAGUAAGAAUGAACUUAUACUGUCUUUCUUCCAUUUUUCUUUCCUUAUACCUGGGUUUGGCUGAGCCUGAGAGCAAAGAUUGCCAUUUGGGUUCAGUAGGUUGCUGACAAAUUAAGUAAAGAUUCCCUCAUUUGUGGGUCAGAUGUCUUACAGCCUGGUUUUGGUGAAGCAAAUCUUGGGAGAGUGAAUCUUGUCCACCCUCUGGCUGCUGGCCACAUGGAGAUGUUAGUAAUUGCGGGUCAGGGCAGGUCAGAUCUCCUAAGCCAAAGGUCCAGAGGUAUCAGCGAAUGCAGGGACUACCAGGCAAUUCUUCAUGUCUCAGCCUGGCAAGGAGUUAAUUCCAGAGAAAGCUGCAGGUUCCGUCACUAAUUCAUUGUGUGAUCUUGGGCAAGUUUAUUAUUUGUAAAAUGGGAGUGGAGGUAGGGUAGGGUGUGGGCUGAGCCAGAGUGAUAGCCAUUGCUCUCUUCAGCUUUUAAAUUCCAGUGGGUCAACAAAAAGGAAGCUUCUGAGCAACCUUAAUUGGCAGAGCUGAGGACACAAACAGCAGGAAUAGCUGUAGAGGGAUAUGGCCUGGGUGGAGUUCCUGCAAGCCCAAGGGAUUCCAGGACAGCUAGCAGGAAAAGAAUGGUUAGCGAGG
rnacentral:lncRNA from 1 species